rnacentral:rRNA from 1 species
UACGAGAGCCUCGAGCGUUAUCCGGAAUUAUUGGGCGUAAAGGGUGCGUAGGUUGUUCUGUUAGUCUUUUGUUAAAACCCCGAGCUUAACUUGGGGAUCGCGAAAGAAACGGCAGAACUAGAAAGUGUGAGAGGCGUACGGAACUCAUGGUGUAGGGGUGAAAUCCGUUGAUAUCAUGGGGAACACCAAAUGCGAAAGCAGUACGCUGGCGCAUAUUUGACACUGAAGCACGAAAGCGUGGGUAGCGAAUGGG